GGGGAUAUGCAAUGGGGAAACCUGAUGCAGCGACGCCGCGUGAGGAGAAGGUUUUCGGAUUGUAAACUCUUGUCGUUAGGAACGAUAAUGACGGUACCUAACAAGAAAGCACCGGCUAACUACGUGCCAGCAGCCGCGGUAAAACGUAGGGUGCAAGCGUUGUCCGGAAUUACUGGGUGUAAAGGGAGCGCAGGCGGGAAGACAAGUUGGAAGUGAAAACCAUGGGCUCAACCCAUGAAUUGCUUUCAAAACUGUUUUCCUUGAGUAGUGCAGAGGUAGAUGGAAUUCCCGGUGUAGCGGUGGAAUGCGUAGAUAUCGGGAGGAACACCAGUGGCGAAGGCGGUCUACUGGGCACCAACUGACGCUGAGGCUCGAAAGCAUGGGUAGCAAACAGGAUUAGAUACCCUGGUAGUCCAUGCCGUAAACGAUGAUUACUAGGUGUUGGGGGAU
rnacentral:rRNA from 1 species